rnacentral:rRNA from 1 species
AUGCAACAGAAGAAGCAGCGCCGUUGCCGUGCACUAAGCAGGUCGACAGAGUCUGCGAGGUGGAAGAUCCAUAGCAUACAGGUUGAUUUGGAAGGGUUGUGUGGAGCGAACCCUGUUCCUCUAAACCAAGGGGUACUUUUGGCCCUUUUCCUGGCAUGCGACAUAGCCGAUGAGAUAUCCCUGAAGCUUCAAUGGAUACAAAGUUUGAACCAUUUAGCAUUUGGGACCCCGAGGAUUCCGAUUGGGAGAACGACAUCGUCCAUAGAUUAA